rnacentral:rRNA from 1 species
UACGAAGGGGGCUAGCGUUGCUCGGAAUUACUGGGCGUAAAGCGCACGUAGGCGGCUUUCUAAGUCGGGGGUGAAAUCCUGGAGCUCAACUCCAGAACUGCCUUCGAUACUGGAGAGCUUGAGUCCGGGAGAGGUGAGUGGAACUGCGAGUGUAGAGGUGAAAUUCGUAGAUAUUCGCAAGAACACCAGUGGCGAAGGCGGCUCACUGGCCCGGUACUGACGCUGAGGUGCGAAAAGCGUGGGGGAGCAAAGCAGGG